GCCAGGCGUGGUGGCACGUGCCUGCAGUCCCAGCUACUCGGGAGGCUGAGGAGGGAGGAUCGCUUGAGCCCAGGAGUUCUGGGCUGUAGUGCACUAUGCCGAUCGGGUGUCUGCACUAAGUUUGGCAUCAAUGUGGUAUCUCCCGGGAGUGGGCGACCACCAGGUUGCCUAAGGAGUGAACUGACCCAGGUCGGAAACGGAGCAGGUCAAAACUCCCAUGCUGAUCAGUAGUGGGAAAGCGCCUGUGAAUGGCAACUGCACUCCAGCCUGGGCAACACAGCGAGACCCCGUCUCUU
ensembl:misc_RNA Metazoa_SRP Metazoan signal recognition particle RNA